AGUUGGUUCGGUCCUUCUAACUUUAUAUGGCUUCCAGGGAUUGAACUCAGGUCAACAGGAACUCUGGUCAGUGCUAACAUGAUGCCUGUCCAGUAUUACAGUAGGUGUUAUGCAGGAGAAGUUUUCUGCAGCAUCAGGCAGACUAUGAGCUCAAAAUGUGAGUUUGGAGAAAGAACCACAUGGCAUCACAGUCCCAGUAGCCCUACGCUGUCUAAGGUUGCAUGCUAGUUUCUUUUGAGACCAUCUCAGGAGCAGCAACCAUUGAGAAUAUUGAGGACCUUCGCAUCACAAACCAAGCCAAACAGCCCUUAAGGUCUGAUAACAGAGCAUUGGCCCUGCCGUUUCCUCUAUUCACUUCCAGAAGCCUCAGAGUACAGUGUGUAGGACAUGCCCCUGCCUAUGUGUUUGCAAGGAGUGAUACCACUCCUCUGUGUAACAGCCAUGAUUAAUUUCAACAGGUGGUCUCAUUCUUAUUUUCCCUGGUGGAAUGAGAAGGAGUAGAUGAGGAAAUGAAUGCCUUUAUUCCAGAUUCUAAAACUACAUCUCUCAUUUAACAGCUUGUUUAAGGGAUAAAAGUGCCAAGCCACCCUCUUUUCAAGUAUUCCCUUGUCACCUGAACAAUAGUUUAUAGUGAUUCCUCGCCCUUUGCCACUAUAGGUAAAAGAAGCUGAAAUCUCUUGCAGUUGUGUGUUUUUGUCUUGUUUUUAAAAUUUAUCUUUAUUUUAUGUAUAUGACUGUUUGCAUAUAUGUAUGUAUAGACACCAUAGAUGCGCAGGUGCCUUUGGAGACUUGAAGGAAGCUAAAGUCACAUCCCUGGGGACUAGCCAUUAUGUGAAUGUUGAAAACUGAACCCAGGUCUUUUGAAAGAGCAGCAAAUGCUCAUAACCACUGUUGCAUGAAGUCUCUUAAAUGUGGUCUGUUCCUUUGUAGACUUUACUACUCAAAAUUUUUAAACAAAGAAGUUUUAAAUUAAAUUACAUUAUAAUUUAAUGUGGUGUGUGUGUGUGUGUGUGUGUGUGUGUGUGUGUGUGUGUGUGUGUGUAGAGGGCUUGGAGAGACGCAUGUGCUGUAUGAGGCUUGUGCAGGCCAGAAGGCAACAUAUAGGAGUCUGACUGCUCAUUCUACCCCAUGUUUCCUAGAGAACUAACAAUUUAGGUCUUCAGGCAUGGUAGUGAGUGUAUUUAUUCACUGAGACAUCUUGCUAGUCCUAGUAUUACAAUCUGAAUACUGUGCUUCUUAGCUUCCAAACACACACUCCAACGUGGAUCUGCCUGCUUGCAGUGCCAACUGUUUCCAAAUAGCAGGAAUGCUGUCUGUUCCUGUGGUCCAUGGCCAUUCACUUGCACUUGCUGUUUUUGUUCCUCCUUGCAGGGUCUGCUCUUGAGACCUAUAAAUGGCCCUUUUUUCCCUUUGUCCUCAGCUGUUGGAACCCCUAGAGGGAACAGAAUACUCUCACACCCAUGCAAGUGUUAAAGAGGCUUUAACCCUUUGACAAUUGCUGGCUCUCUUAAUUAGUUUCACCUGACUGCCACUGGAUUUAAAGCCAAUUGUUGUUAACUUGUUUCUACUGGUAUAAUAGUGUCUCAUUUUACUAGUUCAGUUAAAUUUUUAUUGCUUUAAGGACAUAUUCACAAGAACAUUCAAAGCUACUUGUCUUUUUAUUACAAUUGCACUUAUUUCUGUAACCUGGAAAUAGUUCUCAGUUUCAGAUGCCAUUUAGGCUUCCAGUGGCAUAAAAGUUCAGUUGUGCUUUGCCUCUUUUCUGAGACACAUAUGCUAUCCUAGCCUUUCUCAGCAUCCUUGUCUGUAAGUGGAAAGCCUACACGAGGUUUCCAAGUGUGACACAGGAUCACUGUCAUUUUCUACAGGAAUAGUUUGCCUGGGGUGGAAAUAUCACCCUUCCUCAUUCAUCAGAGUGUUAGGCAGGCAUCUAGGCUCUGCUGAUGUUAUAAAGAUCUUUUAAACUCAAAUAAGGUUUAUCAUGAGGUGAAUUUUCAAGAAAUUCUGUGGAUGGGAAAAAUAAAUAUACCAAAAAAAAAAAAAUAACAAUUUUCAAAAAACCUGAUUUAUCAAGCUUCUUGUUUUGUUUUGCUAUGCUUUGUUUUAUAGUGACACAGUCAUUAAAUUCUAUUGGUUUGCAAAUUGUAAUUAUAUUGGCAUUUUUCUUUCCUUACAAAUAGGUUGAGUUGAUUUGUCUAUGAAGACUGUAAAAUUCUUUUACAAAAUAGAAAGAAAACCAGCAGCAGCUGAAAGCAAAUGCCAGGGUGAACCCUUUUGUCUAGUCACAGAUCUGUGUCACUCACUUGCUUGAGCCUCUUAAAGUGGCCCCGAAGUGCUUGAGGUUUUUUGAGGUUUUGGUUUUGUGUCAUGAACCCCUUAGUUCAUAUAGAAGAUAAUAGAGUUGGCUCCCCAAACAGCCAUGUCAGUUCUCAUCUUCACAUUUUAGGUGACAGACACUGGAAAGCUAUGAAAAAGAUGAGAGAGUGUAAAGAUUUCAAUCAUUUAAUGCAGCUCAAAGGGCAGUGCUGCCAGAGGAAGCCCAUGAUGCAGUGUGGACUUUGGGUCCCAGCUUGUGCUUUGCUCUUCCUGGGAUGCUGACAAGGACUGCAGUACCCUGUCCAUCUCUGCUGUACUCCUGCAGCUUAACAGGUAGUAAUGAGGCCUCUGGGUCCAGCUGCAUUGCUUCAGGCCUUGGAACAUCUGUGCUUGAUUCCUUGAUCACUCCCUAAAUAUCUUGCACUAAAUCAUUCUCACUUAAGCCGGUUAGAGUGGACUUGAAAAGGAAAAGUGUAUUUUGGCACAGGGUAAACACAAGGGUCGGUAGGAAGAACAGAGGCCCAUUAACAAUCAAGCCAAGUCAAACCUAGAGAAGUUCAUUAAUUUUCUGUUCUACUCUCUUCACUACUAAAAAAGAACAUGUUUCUCAAUUAAAUCUAAAUUUGCUUUCAGGUCUCCCCUUCCCCAAACUCAUAUAAUGCUGUUUUCUACGUAGUCAUUUCUUCAGCAAAAACCCAAAACC
ensembl:sense_intronic Gm19938 predicted gene, 19938